GCCACAAUGGAGUACACUCCCAAACCCAAUGUGAACGUUACCAAUCUGUUGCCUCGGCGGGAUUCUCUGCCCCGGGCGCGUCGCAGCCCCGGAUCCCAUGGCGCCCGCCGGAGGACCAACUCAAACCCUUUUUUCUCUCCGUCGCGGCCUACGUCGCGGCUCUGUUUUAUUUUUGCUCUGAGCCUUUCUCGGCGACCCUAGCGGGCGUCUCGAAAAUGAAUCAAAACUUUCAACAACGGAUCUCUUGGUUCUGGCAUCGAUGAAGAACGCAGCGAAAUGCGAUAAGUAAUGUGAAUUGCAGAAUUCAGUGAAUCAUCGAAUCUUUGAACGCACAUUGCGCCCGCCAGUAUUCUGGCGGGCAUGCCUGUCCGAGCGUCAUUUCAACCCUCGAACCCCUCCGGGGGGUCGGCGUUGGGGAUCGGCCCCUCACCGGGCCGCCCCCGAAAUACAGUGGCGGUCUCGCCGCAGCCUCUCCUGCGCAGUAGUUUGCACACUCGCACCGGGAGCGCGGCGCGGCCACAGCCGUAAAACACCCCAAACUCUGAAAUGUUGACCUCGGAUCAGGUAGGAAUACCCGCUGAACUUAAGCAUAUCAAUAAAGCGGAGGAA
rnacentral:rRNA from 1 species